AGUUGACCGGGAAAUAUGAUUGAAAAUCCAUAGAUUUUUGGUUGACCGGGAGAUCAACGGGGUGGUAUACCCAACGUACUGCACCGGACACAGCUCAUUUCUGGACCCUUGGCACAAGGGUACAGAUCACUAUUGCACACCAAUCUUUGUAAUCCCCUGCAAUAAAAAAAUUACCACAUGGUGUGUUGUUCAGUUCAGCAGUGGGGCAACUGAAAUUGUGCCAAACUCAUGGGUUGAAGGAGAUAAAGUCUUCUG